rnacentral:lncRNA from 1 species
GAGAUAUCUUGCACUAAAAAUGUCUUUCUGCUGAAGUAUUUUCUGAAAUAUUAGUUUCUACUUUUACUUUUUUCUCCCAGGACAUCCAUUCGUCUGAACCAAAACAGCUCCCUUAUUUUAUUUUUUCCUUUUUUUAUUUUUUCUAGUUCUGAAAUAACCCAUCUUGAAGACAUAAACAACCUGCAUUGAUGGCUAGCCAGACUCUGUCCUGCCACAGUUCUCCUCCUACUCUUCAUUUCUUACCCCAAGGAGUAGUAAACAUGAAUCCUGACCCACCAAUGCAGUCCCAGAACUGAGAAAAGAUUCAUUGCAGCUAAACAGUAGGUAGAAAUAAAAACAAUGACUCAAUUCGAUAAUAUUAAGUGUGUUGGGAAGACAGUCUCCAAAAGAAAGGAUAAAUAACCUACAUAAUGAAGAAUUACUUAGCAGUGUUAUGUAAAUAUUGUAGCAGCAUCAAUGAGGAGGUGAACAGUGCCCUAUGGAACUCCAGGAACUUCAAAACAUUUUUAUCCAGGCUUUUGCUACAUUUUGAUGAAUAACCCUUAAUGUUGUGCAACAUGGCACCCUAGUCCCAAGUGAAAAUCCACCUGCCCAAAGGUAAAGUCCUGCGCAAAUUAUUUUUUCUCUUUAAACGACAAAAAGAACAAAGGAAAGAUGGUAAACAAGACACAGGGAAAAAGAAAUGAAGGUUGUUUUGCUUUGUUUUUAUUUUUUGCUUUGUUUUGUUUUUAAAGAUGGGGUCUUUCUAUGUUUCCCAGAUUAGUCUUGAACUCUAACCUCCUGAGUAGCUGGGACUCCAAGGGCAUGUCAUCAUCAAACAAGCAUCAUCCAUGACUCCUGGUUAUAGUUCCAGUUAUGACAGCAGACUUUAGGAAAUCACAAGAUGCAAGCUUAAUUAAUAGCAUGGUACUCUCCUAAAAUCA